rnacentral:rRNA from 1 species
UACGUAGGGUGCGAGCGUUGUCCGGAAUUACUGGGCGUAAAGAGCUCGUAGGUGGUUUGUCGCGUUGUUCGUGAAAACUCACAGCUCAACUGUGGGCGUGCGGGCGAUACGGGCAGACUAGAGUACUGCAGGGGAGACUGGAAUUCCUGGUGUAGCGGUGGAAUGCGCAGAUAUCAGGAGGAACACCGGUGGCGAAGGCGGGUCUCUGGGCAGUAACUGACGUGGAGGAGCGAAAAGCGUGGGGGAGCGAAACAGGG